rnacentral:rRNA from 1 species
GAUGAACGCUGGCGGCGUGCCUAAUACAUGCAAGUCGAGCGAAUGGAUUAAGAGCUUGCUCUUAUGAAGUUAGCGGCGGACGGGUGAGUAACACGUGGGUAACCUGCCCAUAAGACUGGGAUAACUCCGGGAAACCGGGGCUAAUACCGGAUAACAUUUUGAACCGCAUGGUUCUAAAUUGAAAGGCGGCUUCGGCUGACCUUUAUGGAUGGACCCGGGUCGCAUUAGCUAGUUGGUGAGGUAACGGCUCACCAAGGCAACGAUGCGUAGCCGACCCGAGAGGGUGAUCGGCCACACUGGGACUGAGACACGGCCCAGACUCCUACGGGAGGCAGCAGUAGGGAAUCUUCCGCAAUGGACGAAAGUCUGACGGAGCAACGCCGCGUGAGUGAUGAAGGCUUUCGGGUCGUAAAACUCUGUUGUUAGGGAAGAACAAGUGCUAGUUGAAUAAGCUGGCACCUUGACGGUACCUAACCAGAAAGCCACGGCUAACUACGUGCCAGCCGCCGCCGUAA